rnacentral:rRNA from 1 species
GAUGAACGCUGGCGGCGUGCUUAACACAUGCCAGUCGAACGAUGAAGCCCAGCUUGCUGUGUGGAUUAGUGGCGAACGGGUGAGUAACACGUGAGUAACCUGCCCUUAACUCUGGGAUAAGCCUGGGAAACUGGGUCUAAUACCGGAUAGGAGCUUCUACCGCAUGGUGGGUGUUGGAAAGAUUUAUCGGUUUUGGAUGGACUCGCGGUCUAUCCGCUUGUUGGUGAGGUAAUGGCUAACUAAGGCGACGACGGGUAGCCGGCCUGGGAGCGUGACCGGCCACACUGGGACUGAGACACGGCCCAGUCUCGUACGGGAGGCAGCAGUGGGGAAUAUUGCACAAUGGGGGCAAGCCAGAUGCAGCGGCGCCGGGUGAGGGAUGACGGCCUUCGGGUUGUAAACCUCUUUCAGUAGGGAAGAAGCGAAAGUGACGGUACCUGCAGAAGAAGCACCGGCUAACUACGUG